rnacentral:rRNA from 1 species
CUGAAUUUUUAAAUGGCCGCAGUAUAUUAACUGUGCAAAGGUAGCAUAAUCAUUAGUUUUUUAAUUGGAGACUUGAAUGAAUGAGUGGACGAGAUAUAAGCUGUUUCAAAAAUAUUAAUAGAAUUUUAUUUUUUAGUAAAAAAGCUAAAAUUUUUUUAAAAGACGAGAAGACCCUAUAGAUCUUUAUAGUUUUUUUAUUUAUUAGAAAUGAGGGUUUAUUUUUAAAUAUAUAAUUAAUUAUUUUAUUGGGGUGAUAUUGAAAUUUAAUUAACUUUUUAUAAGUGUUACCAUUUAUAUAUGAAUAUAUGAUCCUAAAUUAUAGAUUAUAAAUUUAAGUUACCUUAGGGAUAACAGCGUAAUUAUUUUGGAGAGUUCUUAUCGAUAAAAUAGUUUGCGACCUCGAUGUUGGAUUAAGAUUAAUACUAGGCGCAGCAGUUUAGUUUAUUAAGUCUGUUCGACUUUUAAUUUCUUACAUGAUCUGAGUUCA